GGGUCUUUAUAAAAAGAGACCCCAGAGAGCACCCCUACCCCAGCGUCUCUCUGUCUGUCUGUUUCUUUCCAAAAGUCCACACUGAGGAAAGACCAUGCAGGAGCACAGCAAAAGGCAGGCAUCCAUCAAGAAGCCAGCAAGUAGGUCCUCACCAGAAAAUGAAUUGGCCGGAACCUUGGUGCUGGACUUCUCUCCUCCCAAACUAUGAGAAGAUACAUUUCUGUUGUUAAAGUCACCCAGUCUAUGGUAUUGUGUCCUGGCAGCCUGAGCUGACUGAGAUAAUUCUUGUAAUGUAGCAUCGUAUGGGGCAGGGACAGAGUGGCAUCGAAUUAGGGGAGGGGGGAGAUAACUGAUCACUCACUAGAGAAAGUGACCUUGAACUGAGACUCAAACAUUGGCAGGAUCUUAGAUUUAGGUGAAAUUGACAGCAGAAGACCAUUCCAGCUAUGGGAAAGUUACAGGAUCAGCCAGCAGUAGGAAAAUAUACACCAUCCAUUUGUCUGGGGAGUCUGGUGUGUGUGAUACCAAAGGGUGUAGGACACAUUGGGUCAAGUUGUGAAGAACUCUGAAAAUCAGGAUGAAGACUGGGGACUUCCCUCAGCGGGCACAAAGGAUACAUUCCCAAUUCCAGACAAAAGGAGCUUCAAGGAGCUCUGUCCCUUGGGCAGAGUAAUCUGGAGGUCUCCGAGAGGCUCAGGCUCACACCUAGAAACUCUUGCAACACUGCAAGUGACAAGUGAUGGUUAAUGAGGGUGCGGCCUACGGCGACAGUGGGUGGAGAUGGGGGAGAGAGAUCCACGAGGUGGCAUAAAAUGAAUCUCGCAUCGGUUGGAUGCAGACAGAAGCAGGGUGGGAAGUGAAUAUUAGUUACAACGGUGAUUUGAAAACAAAGUAUGUUCAUAAAAUCGUUUUGCUGACCUGUCUGUUUCUAGAGCACUUACUCCUGGAAGCAUCUCGCAUUGGGGAUGAGAACACUGAAGCUGCAUGGCUAACAUCAGAGCACAGGCCUUCGGCUCCUGUUACGUCAGCCCGGCACCCAGAUUCGAGCCCGAGUGGCGAGGCCACUAAAUUUGGUAGUGCGACCAAGAGUAGAGUAAGCUUUGGAGCACAGGUCUUGUUUUCCUUCUAGGUCACUUGAGCUCUAGGUGCUGCAGAACAGCUGGAAAAGCACCGCUAUCCCUCCGAGAGAUCAAAGCGCAAAGCAGAGUGAGAGGUCUACGUGUUUGCAAGAACAUCAUCGUGCAGACAGCAGACCCCGGCGACAGCCCGCACUUGGAACGUUGGAGACGGAGAGAAACCCAAGAAUAGACUGGGAAGGCUUUUGAAGAAGUGGAUACAAACCAGGCGGAUAUCACAUCGAGGACCACCUGAGAAGGGAAAUUAAGGAAAGAAUCAUGGUCAUUUGUGUCAAUGGCUGUACAUUCUAGGAAUGGAGGACUGAAAAAGUUUGCAUUUUUUAUGAGACUGAGCACAGCCCCCCAACCCCCCGGAGGAAAGAAUACACAGCCGUCUUCCCCGGAUGGCUUAAAUCUUCCCCCGCCCGCCAGAGGGAAAGGUUUGGGCCAGAUGAGUCCGGGGCCCCAACAUGAGCCUAUACACUUUGGUCUCCUAUACUCUUGGCGGGCCAUUCUUCUUCCAUGGAGGUAUGACAAAGGUGUGUGUAGGAGGCUUGGAGAGCCAGUCUGUAGUCAGGGAAGGUGCUAGAGAAUGUCCCAGGUAAGCAGAACUAGAUGGCAGGUUUCAAAGACCUUGAAGAGGCACUCGGUGGCUACACAAACAUCAGUGUGCAUGGUAAUCACUGGCUGAUGAGACAGGGGAUCUGGAAGGAGGCCUGCGAGUCUUUCUCUCCAGCCAGCUUCUAGGUAACGUCUAUGGUCUGGGUGUCUGACCACACUUGGAGCUGCAAAGAUCUAGAGCAGAAGCUAUAAACUGGGAGGCCUGGAACCACAUAUUAUAUUCAAGUGUCUUUUCUCAGAUCAACAUAAUAUUCUUAAAAAUGAGAAUUAGUUGACCACAUUUAAAAAUUUGAAAAUUUCACAUUGGGGAAAAAAAAAUCCAAAUUCAGUCUUCUUUUGAGAAACCUCAGGAUCUCUGGCCAUCCUUGACCUACACUCUCACAGAGCUGUCCUAUACCUGCCCGAAUUAGCAGGGUGGGUGCCCUCCAGUCCUCCCAGACUUGCCUCCCCUUUCAUCAUUCGUGUUGCCUGCUGGCCUCUGCAGAGGUUUCCAUUCCUGAUCUAGAGCAAGCCCCUUAUUCGACAGAGGGGAAACUGAGGCCAGAGAGUGGGGCCGGAGAUGGGGGAUGCUCUUCCUGUAUCCAGCAGUGUCUCAUUUCUGCUUUCCUGGAUUUGCCAGCUCUGCAAGAGGUUCAGGAAGCCCCAGAGAAUGGCCAGGGACACUUGCGCAGCAUCACAAGGAGACCAGCAGCAGAGACUGGGAACCACAACCGGGGGUGCUGUGCUGGCUCUUUCCCCAACGACGCGCAGCCUUCCUCGUCCCUCUCCUUGAUGAAAAGCCAGUCCAGGAUUUGAAGCAGUUUGCAUCUCGCACGGACAAGGGAUCAGAUGGGAAGGAACAAGUGCGCCUCGUCCGAGCUCACCCGUCCAUGAGUGGAGGAGCAGAAUGAGAACCCAGACCCACGAGCUCCACAUCUGUCCCUGUCCCAACCGCAUGCUGCCCGAGCCACCCCCCCCAAAGAGAGAGCAGAGAAUGAGCAAACUGAACAUGACAAUGAACAUGAAAUUAGCAAGCAGUGCUGCCAGCCUGUCUGCUUCCAGGUCAUCUGUCCUUCACUUUUUUGAGCCCCGAGCACCAUUUCAGAUGACAGCAGCCUCCAGCAGACCACGAGAUCACGUCUUCUUAACCUCUGGAAACACCAGAGCUCGAAGCAGGCAUGAGCUCUACACUGCUUCCGGAAAGAUGGGCAGGAUUAAGAGAGGGUGGUACAUUUGUCUAACAAAUGCUUAGAAACCAAAGAUAAACAUUUACCUCCUUAAGCUGAAUGAAGUUACAGAGGACAAUUUGUCUGAUUGUAGAUGCUUUGGAAAUAAAAAUUUGGACAAAUCCUGUGCAAA